rnacentral:rRNA from 1 species
UACGAAGGGGGCUAGCGUUACUCGGAAUUACUGGGCGUAAAGCGUGCGCAGGCGGUUUUGUAAGCCAGAUGUGAAAUCCCCGGGCUUAACCUGGGAAUGGCAUUUGGGACUGCAAGGCUCGAGUGUGGCAGAGGAGACUGGAAUUCCUGGUGUAGCAGUGAAAUGCGUAGAUAUCAGGAGGAACACCGAUGGCGAAGGCAGGUCUCUGGGCUGACACUGACGCUC